ensembl:lncRNA
CCCAUAGGGACCCCAUAGAGAGCCCAUAGGUACCCCAUAGAGAGCCCAAAGAGACCCCGUAGGGACCCAUAGGGACCCCAUAGAGAUCUCAUAGAAAGAGACCCCAUAGGGACCCAGAGAGACCCCAUAGAGAGCCCAUGGAGAGCCCAAAGAGACCCCAUAGGGACCCAGAGGGCCCUCAUAGAGAGCCCAUAGAAAGAGACCCCAUAGGGACCCCAUAGAGAGCCCAUGGAGAGCCCAAAGAGACCCCAUAGGGACCCAGAGGGACCCCAUAGAGAGCCCAAAGAGACCCCAUAGAAAGAGACCCCAUAGGGACCCAGAGGGACCCCAUAGAGACCCCAUAGAGAUCCCAUAGAAAGAGACCCCAUAGCGACCCACAGGGACCCCAUAGAGAUCCCAUAGAGAUCUCAUAGAAAGAGACCCCAUAGGGACCCAGAGGGACCCCAUAGAGACCCCAUAGGGACCCCAUAGAGAUCCCAUAGAAAGAGACCCCAUAGGGACCCAGAGGGACCCCAAAGAGACCCCAUAGAAAGAGACCCCAUAGGGACCCCAUAGAGAUCCCAUAGAAAGAGACCCCAGAGGGACCCAGAGGGACCCCAAGGAGACCCCAUAGAAAGAGACCCCAUAGAGAUCCCAUACAAAGAGACCACAUAGGGACCCAUAGAGACCCCAUAGAGCCCCCAUAGAGCCCCCAUAGAGCCCGAAUUUCGGGCCGCUGCCCCUUUAAGGCCUCACUGGCAGCGCGGUCCAUCGCCGCUCACUGCGCAUGCUCCGUGCACGCACGGGAACGGCCGGUCGGACAGCGGGUGGCAGCGGCUGACGCACAGCGCGCCGGAAGGGGCGGGGAUUGCGCUGUAGUAGCCAAUGAGCGACGGCGGGAUCAGCGGCUGGCAGAGCGCUAUUGGUCGGGCGGGUUAUAGGGUGGGUUAUGGGGUUAUAGGAUAAGGGGUUAUGGGGUUAUGGGGUGGGUUAUGGGAUUAUAGCAUAAGGGAUAAUGGGGUAUGAGCGUUUAUAGGAUAAUGGCUGGGUAUUGGCGUAUGAGGUGGGUUAUGGGGUUAUAGGAUAAGGGGUCAUGGGGUUAUAGGGUGGGUUAUGGGGUUAUAGGAUAAGGGGUCAUGGGGUUAUAGGGUGGGUUAUGGGGUUAUAGGAUAAGGGGUUAUGGGGUUUUAGGGUUAUAGGGUGGGUUAUGGGAUUAUAGGAUAAGGGGUUAUGGGGUAUGGGGUUACAGGGUGGGUUAUGGGGUUAUAGGAUAAGGGGUUAUGGGGUUAUAGGGUGGGUUAUGGGGUUAUAGGAUUAUAGGAUAUGGGGUUAUGGGGUUAUAGGCUGGGUUAUGGGGUUAUAGAGUUAUGGGGUUCUGGGUUUAUAGGGUAUGGGGUCAUGGGGUGUGUUAUGGGGUGUGUUAUGGGGUUAUAGGAUGGGUUAUAGGGUUAUGGGGUUAUAGGAUAUGGGGUUAUAGGGUUGGUUAUGGGGCCAUACCUGCAUCCAGGGGCUGAACGGUGUAGUUGGUUACAGAGGUGUGGGACGUGUUGAAACAUAUGUCACCUAUAGGGCCGUUAUAGGGGAUAUGGGGUCACUAUAGGGGAUAUGGGGCCGUUAUAGGGGAUAUGGGGUCACUAUAGGAGAUUAUGGGGCCGUUAUAGGGGAUAUGGGGUCGUUAUAGAGGAUUAUGGGGCCGUUAUAGAGGAUUAUGGGGUGGCAAUGGGGGAUAUAGGGCCAUUAUAGGGGGUUGUGGGGUCAUUAUAGGGGGUUAUGGGGCCAUAAUGAGGGAUAUGGAGCAGUAGUGGGGGAUGUGGGACCCCAAACCCCACAUAGGAUCCCCCAAACCCCAAAAGCGUUUAUAGGGCCCCAGUGGGGACCUUAUGGGGGUCCCACAACCCCAAAUCCCAUAUAGGAACCCCCCAACCCCAUAAGCGUUUAUAGGACCUCAGUGGGGACCUUAUGGGGGUCCUCCACCCCAUAUAGGAUCCCCCAAGCCCCAUAACUGAUGGGGGACCCCAAUGGGGGCCUUAUGGGGGUCCCACAACCCCAAAUCCCAUAUAGGAACCGCACAACCCCAUAAGCGUUUAUAGGACCCCAAUGGGGACCCUCUAUGGCUGCGCCCCCUCACGUGACCCCUCACGUGACUUCCGCCCCUUCACGCGACCACCCCCGCUGGCACGUGACUUCCGCCCCCCACUCACGUGACCCCCCACUCACACGUGACCGCGCUGCAUUGGCUGCAAUUGGCGACGGUGGCCGCCAGGAGGUCCUCCACGAGGUCCUCCACGACGGUGGGGGCGUCAGUCCCCGCCGCGACCCGAAGGAGCACAUCGUACGUCACCACGACGCUGCCCUCUCUAUG